rnacentral:rRNA from 1 species
CCUACGGGAGGCACCAGUGGGGAAUAUUGCACAAUGGGCGGAAGCCUGAUGCAGCAACGCCGCGUGAGGGAUGACGGCCUUCGGGUUGUAAACCUCUUUUAGCAGGGAAGAAGCGAAAGUGACGGUACCUGCAGAAAAAGCGCCGGCUAACUACGUGCCAGCAGCCGGGGUAAUACGUAGGGCGCAAGCGUUAUCCGGAAUUAUUGGGCGUAAAGAGCUCGUAGGCGGUUUGUCGCGUCUGCUGUGAAAUCCCGAGGCUCAACCUCGGGCCUGCAGUGGGUACGGGCAGACUAGAGUGCGGUAGGGGAGAUUGGAAUUCCUGGUGUAGCGGUGGAAUGCGCAGAUAUCAGGAGGAACACCGAUGGCGAAGGCAGAUCUCUGGGCCGUAACUGACGCUGAGGAGCGAAAGGGUGGGGAGCAGACAGGAUUAGAUACCCCUGUAGUC